GCAAAAUGGCCCUUGUUUGACGAGAGUAAUGAACGGGCACAUUGUCAUGGUGGAGAAGGACUCCCUAGUGAAGUUCUCUUGGGCAUUUUUCUGCUAACGCUUUUGGGUAACUCUCUUAAAAUGCUCUUGUAACAAGGAGAUAUUAUUUUCUUUGGCCCUCCAGAAAGUCAACAAACAAAAUGACUUGACAUCUCAGAAAACGAUUGCCAUCAUCUUUGCUCUUGGCUGGUUCACUUUUGCUUCGACUUGACUACUUCCACCUCCACAUAGCCAUUACCUUGAUUUUGCUUUGUCCUCAGAAUAUUACCGUUAAAGCCAUGUCUCAUAUCCUGUUACAAUUUUUCAAAAAUGUCUUCAGGAACUUAAUCCCACUUGUUUAAAAUUUGCAUUGAAAGCUCUGCUCUUGUUUGCGGCUGAUCUGGGCACAACAGUUUUAGCAUUUGUUGAGUGCAAAGUUUGCUCAGCUUUAAUUUUUCAGUCAAAACUGUGUAAGCUAAACCAGUUGAGAUGUCAAGGGGUUGGCUAUAAUUUCUGCUGUUAAUCAUCAGUCAUCUUCAAUUAGGGCACAAACAAGAUGAAUUUAUUCCUUGCAAAUUGAUGUGGAUGGUCUGUCUCUGUGGAUUUAAUCUUCAACAUCAUCUCAUCCCUUCUUAAGACAAGUUACUCAUCUGUAAACUGCUGAUUUCUUUGGGGCAUUGUCCUCACAAACAUUUUGUAAUGCAUCAUGAUUUCACCAUUCUUCCACCCAAGCUUCACCAUAAGUUUGAUGUUUGUUCUUGCUUCGAUUUUACCAGAAUUCACGUUGCUCCAAUAGGAGCUCUUUGCAAACUGAUGUCUACAAUAAUAGCUCCUCAAGGCAAAAGCAGAGACAGCCAACAGGGAGAUACAGCUGACAAAGCACUAUUACCGCAUCCAUUAUGGUAAUGUAUAACUCAAAUAACACAGUUUUAUAGUUCUAUAAAGAGAAAAAAAGAGAGAAUGUCUGCCAGUUGGGCUCGUGUGAAGUGGACUCCAAGGAAAUUAAUGUGCGGGAGAAAUACCGGG
rnacentral:lncRNA from 1 species